rnacentral:snRNA from 1 species
AAACAGAGCCGAGCUGGCUGGCUAGGCUGGUGUCUCCUUCCUCCCUCACGGCUCUAUGUGCAUCGCCUUCCCAAAGCUGUGCUUUAGCUCCAAGCGAACGACUGUUCUUUGGUCAAAGGUAUAUGAGUAGCUGUGCUCCCCUGCUAGAACUCUGCCAUCAAUCCUGAUGGCCACUCAUUAUUACAGCAGUAAAUGAUAUCACUGUUCACUGGGUCGCUUAGACCCAAAAGU